CAGCUGAGUUAUGUAAAGUCCACAGCCUGUCUCUCGCUUUCUCCUGCAGCCACUUCAUCCCAGUCCAGGCCCUAACCUCUCGAGGUCUUGUGUUACCUCCACCCUCGUGCACAAUUACCCAACCAAGUGGAAGCUGCUGUCUGGGGUGGGGCAGAGUUUGAGACGGGGUGGGGUGACUGCAGAGCCCUGUGUCCGUGAAGUCCUGAAGAGUGAAAAGAUUGGGGACAUGGGGGUAGGGGGACGCACACACAAUCAUAGGAGUGCCUUCGACUGAUAGCAGAGCGCUCAUUAUACACAUAGCACGAGACUCCUUCAAUCGGCCUUCCACGGUCAGACAUAGUGCUAACCCCCCGUGUGGAUUCAGACACCACACAGACAGAUAAUCCCUCCUAAAGUCUGCCAUUUGAUGUUGCUCCCCCAGAUGCACAUGACACGUUAGCAUGUAUGUGUUAUGCAUACAUACAAGCAUUGACGCACACUCACACACAAAGGGUGGGGAGGAUUUGCCAUCACAGCAUGCAACUACUUUUUUGGGUUUUGGGGAGAGUAAAGGAUUAUUGAUUUAGGACACUGGCCAGAUGUACCCACAUGCCUGACACAGUGGAGUAAAAUUCAACUAUUUUGCAGCAAUCUUGUCCAGCAAUGGCAUCAUUUGAUUUGUGUAGACUGAAAGGUUUUACAAUGAGUGCUUUUACUUCCCACUAUCAGUAAGGGCCUUGAUAAUGUUUCUCUCCAGGGCCUUUUCAUUCAUGUCUAAUAAACUGUAAGUGCAUCAAUGCGUCCACACAAUGACUGACUUCUGUGUCAACAUCAAAAAUCCCAGGUCUCUUGUAUUGCUCUGUCCCUGCUCUUCAUCUACAAGCCAUUUUCCAUCUCUUCAUCUCAUUGCUUUCUCAGCCUGUCAAACACCUCUUACUCUGCCCCCUUUUCCCCUCUCCUGCUAUUUUCUUUCCCCUUUUAGCAUUCACAUCACGUCCUUGUCUCCCCAUUUGGUCAGAUUUUAGGUUGGAUUAAGGGAAUAGAAUCAAACUGAUGCAGUUACUCUUUGAUAUUUAAGUGAUAUUCUGAAUCAGCUGCUCAGAGCACAUGAAGUUGAGCUGCUACCUUGCUCAGUGUGUUUCCUGUCUCUGUGUAUAUUUAAGAUUGAGCAUAUAAAUGGAGCUGGCAGGACCAGAGAGCAGGACCAGACUCAGAAAGGAAGGAGCUCCACUCAAAUUAAUCUCCCCUGGACAGCCCAGUAAAGGAGCAGAGCCAUUUUUGGGAGCAAGGAGCCAUCUCCUAGGAAGGCUGUGAGAAGACUGCAGACAAGUGUCUGUGGGAAAAUGUUGCCAGACAACACAGGGGUAUGUGACAGUGAGUGUAAGAAAAUAAAGGGAAAAAAGGGAAAUUAAGGCUAGAUGAGAUAGAUUAUCAGAGCUACAUUUGAAACUAUGAGAACUGCAAAUUUGAAGCUUUGCUCAUGUUUGAAAAUGUGCAUAUUUUAAGAUGGCAUGCCACAGAAAUUGAAGAGUCUUUACAUUUAAAUUACCAUCAGAAUUAAAUAACUUACUCUAUCUUU